UUCAGUCCUGUCUGCAUCUUAGAAGAAAAACCGAUUGACGUUGUUCCCUUCUUUUACCCAAUUUUUCAAAACUCUUAUAUACAAAUUGGGGAGAUCUAAGGGGGAAAUCAGGCGGGAUACAUAAGCUUUUUGUCGAAGAGAUGGAAAUCUUGUGCCUAGAAUUGCAAUAAUUGUGUUGAAUCUUUCUCCAGGUACCAUACUUAGAAGAGAGCGAUUCUUUUUCUUUCUUCUUCUAUGCCUCUGAAUAUAUGCUUGUUCCCUCUGUGAAUCCCUAAUUGGAUGCUCAUUAACACUAAAACGCUGAUAUUUCGAGGUUCUACAGCAAUCAAGAGAGAGCAAAGAUGAAUUGAAUGGUGACUUUAGGGAAGAAAUUGA
rnacentral:lncRNA from 1 species